rnacentral:rRNA from 1 species
ACACAUGCAAGUCGAGGGGUAUAGUUCUUCGGAACUAGAGACCGGCGCACGGGUGCGUAACGCGUAUGCAAUCUACCUUUUACAGCGGGAUAGCCCAGAGAAAUUUGGAUUAAUACCACAUAGUAUUAUGAAAUGGCAUCAUUUUAUAAUUAAAGUCACAACGGUAAAAGAUGAGCAUGCGUCCCAUUAGUUAGUUGGUAAGGUAACGGCUUACCAAGACUACGAUGGGUAGGGGUCCUGAGAGGGAGAUCCCCCACACUGGUACUGAGACACGGACCAGACUCCUACGGGAGGCAGCAGUGAGGAAUAUUGGACAAUGGGCGCAAGCCUGAUCCAGCCAUGCCGCGUGCAGGAUGACGGUCCUAUGGAUUGUAAACUGCUUUUAUACGAGAAGAAACCACUCUACGUGUAGAGUCUUGACGGUAUCGUAAGAAUAAGGAUCGGCUAACUCCGUGCCAGCAGCCGCGGUAAUACGGAGGAUCCAAGCGUUAUCCGGAAUCAUUGGGUUUAAAGGGUCCGUAGGCGGCUUUAUAAGUCAGUGGUGAAAUCUCCCCGCUCAACGGGGAAACGGCCAUUGAUACUGUAAGGCUUGAAUUAUUAGGAAGUAACUAGAAUAUGUAGUGUAGCGGUGAAAUGCUUAGAGAUUACAUGGAAUACCAAUUGCGAAGGCAGGUUACUACUAAUACAUUGACGCUGAUGGACGAAAGCGUGGGUAGCGAACAGGAUUAGAUACCCUGGUAGUCCACGCCGUAAACGAUGGAUACUAGCUGUUGGGCGCAAGUUCAGUGGCUAAGCGAAAGUGAUAAGUAUCCCACCUGGGGAGUACGUUCGCAAGAAUGAAACUCAAAGGAAUUGACGGGGGCCCGCACAAGCGGUGGAGCAUGUGGUUUAAUUCGAUGAUACGCGAGGAACCUUACCAAGGCUUAAAUGUAGAUUGACCGGUUUGGAAACAGACUUUUCGCAAGACAAUUUACAAGGUGCUGCAUGGUUGUCGUCAGCUCGUGCCGUGAGGUGUCAGGUUAAGUCCUAUAACGAGCGCAACCC